GACGAGCCACACAAACGUUAUUCGGAAUCACUGGGCUUAAAGGGUGCGUAGGCGGUGCGGAAAGUGGGGUGUGAAAGACCUCGGCUCAACCGAGGAAUGGCGCUCCAAACUACCGUGCUUGAGUGAGACAGAGGUAAGCGGAACUUCGGGUGGAGCGGUGAAAUGCGUUGAUAUCCGAAGGAACACCGGUGGCGAAAGCGGCUUACUGGGUCUCAACUGACGCUGAGGCACGAAAGCCAGGGUAGCAAACGGG
rnacentral:rRNA from 1 species